AAAAGUCAGCGAUUACGGUGCGACGUUUUGUGUUUCCGCAUAGUUCGCGAACCAUAUCGUUUCGCUCACUCCACAGGAUAGAUUCUGUUUCUGUCUCUGUCCCUGGAUCCAUUCUGGAUCUAGCAUUAAGAUCUGGAUCUGUUAAAUUUAUAUUAUGUUUUUCAACGUAUUAAAAUGCUUCAUGAUACAAGGAUGUCAGAGCUUGCGAGACCGACGAAGGAUUGGACCGCGCGGAGUGGGAACCGGUCAACUCUUUGAGAAGAAUGCGCGGUGCCAGUCGGUUAGCUUGAUAGAUUCGGACAUGGUCGGUAGGCGGUAGAAGAAAUUUCCUGUAAUUCAUUAAAGAAGCAUGAAAACUGUCUGCUUCAUUGUUUGAUAUUCCUUUUACGCACCGAAUGUUGAUGUAAAAGGCGAAAAAUCUGCUCGAUAUCCCGCAGUCGGGUGGCAAUGUCACAUUAAAGUAGCAUAAUCCCGGGGAUAGGUCGGGUAUGUUGUCAUAGCGGAAUGUUCCGGCUCGUCCAUCGAACAAGAAGGGACAGUCUAAUACCAGGCUUUGAUUGCAUAACAUUUCCAAAUUUGGGUCUGUAAAUUCAUAAUUAUUAUGUUUUCCACUUCAUUAAACAGUUCUAUGAUAGCUAAAUAAAUCAGGCCAGGCCAUUCUGCCGGGCAGUUCAGCUGCACUUUCAGCCAUGUGUCUGCGUCUCGGAUAAUCUCUUGCACAUGACAUUGAGUCAAUGGCAAUAGAGGCGUACUUAUAUGUUUUCCCGUAGAGGACAUAUAUAUAUAUAUAUAUUCCUUGGGGCAAACUUAAACUUACGCAAGUCUUUAUUAAAGGGGAUAAUUUCGGAUAAAAUUUAUGAUGUAAUAGAUUUUCUCUGUUUCUCAACAACUGGUACUACAAUUACAACUAUAAAUCUAUAAUUAAAGCUUCAGGUGGCGUAUUAUUGUGAUAAACUGCUGAUCGCACUGGAUGUCACAUCCACACCGGUUUUGCGGCUACAUCCGAUUGCGCAACUGAGAAAGAGAAGUAGAGAAGCAAACGGAAAUAGUACGGCUGAUGCGAUUUACUCCUCAAUAAAGAAAAAAAAUUCAACAUAUCGCUCAAAGCCGGGCAAAAACCCCCCAUGUUUCAAGCACAAAGGACAGGUAAGUUAUCGACUGUUCAAAACAAACAGCAAAAAGUGGCCAACUGUUGGGCAAUAUCGAAGGGGUUGUAUUACGCCAGCGUCACUUACAGUUACGGUAAUACUGCGCCAUCACAUUGCGGAUGCAGGAGAGAAAUCCCAGACCAAGGAUAAUGAAGAAUUUGCUUCCGGUACCCAUUAAUUUUUAGCCCACAGCUCUGAAAUAAUAACACGGUAUGUACAGGGUUUUUUGGCACACACGUGCUAUAAACAAGCAGUUACUCUAACGCGAUAAUAUUACGAACAUAACUCACUUAGUGUAAGCAGAAUUAUCACGAAGGAGACAACAGGAACCCAUAUAUCGCACUACAGCAUCAAGGCUGCUGUACUGGGCAUUUCAGGUAGCAACAAUGCUGUUGUGCAUUAUUCAGGCAGUGCGUAAAGCGACUUUCCAUGGAUAUCUAUUGCUAGCCACUAUCCGUAUCGAACAGCAGGAAAAGAAUUAAUAUCUGUUCCGAUAAUCAGCUGUAACACAGGCGUGGCCGGUUGAUGUGCGCGAAAACAGAAAAAUGGCUGAUGCCGUUGUGCGUAUGUGUAGGCUUCUGCGGCAUAUCCACAGACGUAUUAAAAAAAGAAUAGAAUGCUUCUUUGGUAAAAUUCCAAAAUUAAACUCGGAACUACUUCCUUAAGCCUUGCUUAUUAAAUUUUACUCUAUAAUCAUCCAUCGGCUGCAGAAAAAUUUCAUUCGGCAAAGCCCACUUGCUGUAACGACUGAUCGAUGAAGGACCGCUAGCGACAGUAAUUAUUAGUCACACCACUGUUAGUCAGCUAUGCAUGCCCCUCCUAGCCCGGUCAGUAGGAGUCAUGGGGAAUCACGCUGACGGCAUAUGUACUCAGUACGGCAUAAUCGCGCCUUCAUACAUGACUCAUGUAUUUCAUCAUGCUCGUAAGUCGUAGCCACAGAAGCCGUCGCCAGUUAAACAUAAAGGCUCGUACAUUCAGCGCUCUUAAGACAGCAUCCGCAUUUCCGCUUGCAUGAAACCGGUUUCUUGAUUCACGAAAAAAUGGUACAUGAAAUUUGUUGCCUCUGCAAAAUAUGCUAAGGUGCUAACCUCCACUUUCAAAAUUACUCCCAAAAAAUUCCGAAACGGAGCACUUUACGAAUCACCAAACUUUUCUAGCCUCUACGAAACUUUCGAGAGAGAGUUGAUCAAAGCAGUUGACCAAAGCAACCUUUUUGAUGCUUAGCGGAUCACAAGCGUACGAAACAGCACACGUGUUUUAUACCUCAAAACGUUGUGCAUGACAGAACUUUAUAAUCUUAGAAAACUUUAUAAUUUUACGGAAUUUUUGGAGGAAAUAAACACAGGAGGUCACGACAUGACGAAACCGGCUGGUCAAAAUGCUAAUACAGUAUACUGAAGUAGGUAUGGAAUGAGAAUACAUAUGUGGGUUAUAUUACUGUAUUAUUAACGCACAGAACGGCAAAGUAAGGCUGCAAUCCGACUAACAACCUAAAUAUUUCCUUGGGCAUAUUCGUAAAAUUGUACUCUUUAUGAAAGCGGUAUCUUUGAAGUGCGCGCAGACAUCUUUGAAGUGGCCGCAGACGCGUGACAGGCCGUACGCAACUCGAGUAUACUCGCACAAAACGUACGUCACAAUUACAAACGACCGUACAAAAUUUAAUUUCUGUUUAAUAAUUGCCGGUCGGUAUACGGUACCCAUACGUACAUGAGUCAUGAGUACAUACUGUACCUGAUACGUUUAAUGACGUUUGUAGCGGACAGCCUUUUCGAAACAGCCAGAAUUAUUUCCAGUAAUUUCAUUGGCUAGAAAUACGAAUAUUUCCAGGAACAUUGGAUGGAUAUAAAAAAUGGGGGUAGUAUUUAUCCGUUAGCUUUACCCCAGUCUGCUCGGACCAAUGGUGCAAAGAUACUAGUACUCGUGUGUACAUAAAGCAAAUACGUACGCUAAAGACCAUUUUAAACCGAAAACCAUUUAUUGCUCGAUUCUCUGACAGACAAAACACUUUUUUACAGCGGCUGGGAUCGUAUCGCCUGUAGAGUGUCCGUAGACGUGAUUUGAUUUUUCUGUUUUCAAGUCGACCAUUGAAUUCUGUGGAAGAUCCCAAACCGACAACAGACUUACUCACAGCAGGAGAGGCGGGACAAUGGAUUGGUCGACAUUGGAUACCCGAAUCCACCCGUGGAACAGCGUGAACGUGUUGGGCGACGACGAGGUCUGGCGUUGUGGACGGGUCGUGGACGUAACGGACGAGGGUCUUUUCAUUGACUUUCUGUGCUCCGGUCGCCGACGUGAAUUAUCCCCUUUCGAUCGGGUCUUUCUCCAUGAGGCCGGACCCGAAAAUUAGCCACAGCCGCUGAGAUAAAACGUGGCGCGAUAGCCGAAGUCUUGAUGCGUGACAGUGCAUUGGGUGCGUGGACUUGGUUGCCAGUGGAACGCCAUGGUCCGGUCCGCGGCCCUGGUGGUGACGACUAUAAAGUGGUCGUCCUUCAUCGCGGAACACCGCAGGAAUGUGUGGAUGUUGCUCGCAACACUCGCUUUCGCUGGAAAGCGGUCAAGGAGGGGCGGGUCCAGUGGGACAUCGUUGACGAUGCGUGGGAAAUAGUUGAGAACCAAUCAUCAGUGGUGGAUUCUCCCAAGAACUGCGUCAAGAAACGGACCUUCGUCAAGCGCGCUAUCCGGCUGCCGGAAGGUUAUCCCGCGACACUGAUUGCUGCAGCGCUGCAACAGCGUAGUACAGCAACGAACUACCGUCUUCUGAAUUCUGCCCAUGCGGUGUGCGUGGACGUCGUGGACGACUGUGUGAUCUACAUUCAGCGGCGGUCGGUCGGUGCUGAAGAGAAACCGGCACGAUGAUUGUUCGAAUGUAUGUUGCGGUUCAUGUUUAUGAUGACAUUAUCCAUGCCGAUAUGUCGUGUUGUGACUUAGCAGACAAAUCUCACCACAUCUCACAACGCGCUAUUGAAAUCCAUCCAGUCCGAGCCGUUGGUCCAGAAUUCCGGAUUAAAUGAAUUCGCUGUAAUGCCGACGGAAUUGUUAAGGGAAGUCUUCUGGAAUCUGGACGCUACAACGCAGACCCACUUGCGCUCGGUGUGCGGAGCAUGGGACUUCCUUCUGACAUGAGUUCAACGUCUUUGCGGGCCCACGUUGUUUUCGACACGGCGGCAUUCAGUAGGGCCAAUCUGGAAGAACACCCAAUAAAAGCGUAUUUUAUGGCCUCCCUUCUCUUCCGUUGUCUCUCUUCGUCCACGAAACACCUGGCUGUGGUUGAUCGGCGACGCUCUCCAUGGAAGAAGACGAUGUUCUUGGGCUCUCUGUUCGACGAUAUCCGUUGAUUGCGCAGCGCAAUACGGACAUCCACUUAAAGGGCAUCCAUUUGGUCCAGAAGACGCAAGCGACUUUGUUCCAAGUCGCCAAAUUAUGCUCAGUGUUCGGCCGCUCCUUUAUAACUGUUACGUAAAAAAAAGUGUUGCUUGCGUUAUUGCAAAAAUAA